CCUACGGGGGCUGCAGUGAGGCAUAUUGGACAAUGGGCGAAAGCCUGAUCCAGCCAUGCCGCGUGUGUGAAGAAGGCCUUCGGGUUGUAAAGCACUUUCAGUGGGGAAGAAAGCCUUGGGGCUAAUACCCUCGAGGAAGGACAUCACCCACAGAAGAAGCACCGGCUAACUCCGUGCCAGCAGCCGCGGUAAUACGGAGGGUGCGAGCGUUAAUCGGAAUUACUGGGCGUAAAGCGCGCGUAGGCGGUCUGAUAAGCCGGUUGUGAAAGCCCCGGGCUCAACCUGGGAACGGCAUCCGGAACUGUCAGGCUAGAGUGCAGGAGAGGAAGGUAGAAUUCCCGGUGUAGCGGUGAAAUGCGUAGAGAUCGGGAGGAAUACCAGUGGCGAAGGCGGCCUUCUGGACUGACACUGACGCUGAGGUGCGAAAGCGUGGGUAGCAAACAGGAUUAGAUACCCCUGUAGUC
rnacentral:rRNA from 1 species